GACGCAAACUCAACAUUUUGGCAAAAAAACCAUCAAAAUUCGUGACGUCGUUAUUUUUAUUACAUAACGUCAAGUUAUCAUGCUAAUUAUUUCCAACGUUCUUCGUGUUGAUUAUGCACGAUUAAUAUGUGUUUCGUAUUGAUAGAUUCUUUUUAUCUGGAUAAUUAUCAUUAAUUUUUAUUUUGUAUUUCCGAUAUUCUUUAUUCUUUAUAUUUAGGCACCCCAUUAUGCUCUUUUUCUUUUUUCUUUUUUUUUUUGCCUUUUAUUCUGCAAUUUUUGCCCAUUAUUCUGUAUUCCGUUAACCUCAAUCAGACCCUCUUUUAUGGAACAUUUUAAAAAGAAAUUAUACGUUAUAAAAAAUAUGAUACAUGUAUGUUCAUUAUCAAUACACAUGUCUAAAACAAUUACUAAUUCAAACAAAAAUACAUUGUAAGUACAUGAACGCAAAAAUAGUAAAAACAUAAAAAUAGAAAUCAUCAGGUUUACUGUCUACAAUCUACAAGUUGACGCAAUAAAAGAUGUAAUUGAAACUAUAAUUUGUUAUGCCCCCGCAACUGAAAGUUGGGGGGGGGGGGGUUACCCCUGUCCCUCUGUCCGCCGUCCUUCCCCUAUUAUAGUUAAUCCGCAUAACAUCUACAGUUUGAAUCCUAGAACGUUUUCACUUUGUUGUCUGUUUGUACAUAUAUUGAAGGUGUGCAUGUGGUCAGGGUUGUGAUCUUUAUUAAUAUUUGCUCUAAUGGGAGAUUUGUUGAAUUUUGUCACUUUUUUGGGUAACCAAUUCGUAAAUCUCUUAGACUAUCGUGUAGAUCAUCUGUUUGCAUUUUUUCUCCGUUCCGAUAUAUGAUUUGGCAAAUUUUUGAAAACAACGGUUACUUUAGCAGCGGAACAUGUAAUAGCUCGUUUUUUGGUACUAUAUCACGACAGAUCGAGUUCUGUCCAUAUACUACUGCUUAACAUCGCAUAUAUAAACAAACAUUAUAUCAACGAUUCUACAAAUUAUUGAAAGAGUGUCGUGCGGUUAUUUAUACAUCUGCAAGUUAACAAUUAAAACACGCAGACAAACUGACAUCUUUGUAAAUAUUUUUUUUUGUUCUGCAUAAAAUUUAUUGUAUACAAGUCUACAAAAACGUUUUAAAAAGUUUAGUAAAUAGUUAUUUUUCCAUAAGUGUACAUGUGUAUGCUCGAAGUAUAUAUAGAAUCAGUACAUGAUACACAACAUGCGACAAAAAAAGGGGGGUAGUAAUAACAGGAAACUAAAUUAAACUAAGGCUUUGAUCGAUGUAAACUUCAAUAAAACUGGAAGUUACACAAGGGGAACAGGAAAAUAAGAAUAUAUUGCAUCACUUACGACAACCUUUGAAUUGACCAGUGACUUUUUUUAUUUAUUACUGACCAGCCACAACGAGAUAAUCCAACGAGUUUUUAAGGGUUCAUAUGAAGUGUGGACCUAAAUGUUCUUUAUCUUUAAAUAUAACGCUUAUUCUGUAAAAUCCUCAAUAAACAAUUU
rnacentral:lncRNA from 1 species